rnacentral:misc_RNA from 1 species
AAAAAAAGAAAAAGGAGGAAUAGCAAGCCAUAUUUAGAAGUAUAUCAGUUAAUCCAGAAGUGGCUCUCCAGAAUCCCCUCUCCCCGUCUCUCUAAAUUCACCAUUUAUCCUUCUUUUUUCAAUUUCUAUAGCUGUUUAAUUUAUUUUAUAAACAUUCACUAUAAACUGUCUUAAAUAUUUGCCUCCUAGCAGGGCCAAGAUAGGGACGUUUGCGGGUUCAAGCCAUUGGCACCAGCUACCAUCUUGGUCCUGCCUCCGCUCAGCAAACGGAGGCAGGAGCCAUCAAACGCACCUUAGCUUCACAACAGGUUGAAACCAAGAAAAGGGGGGUGAAAAAGGGGAAAAGAAGUUCAGAAAUACCUG